rnacentral:rRNA from 1 species
AUUGAACGCUGGCGGCAGGCCUAACACAUGCAAGUCGAACGAGUGGCGGACGGGUGAGUAAUGUCUUGGAAACUGCCCGAUGGAGGGGGAUAACUACUGUAAACGGUAGCUAAUACCGCAUACCAUCGGAUGUGCCCAGCUGGGAUUAGCUAGUAGGUGGGGUAAAGGCUCACCUAGUCGACGAUCCCUCGCUGGUCUGAGAGGAUGACCAGCCACACUGGAACUGAGACACGGUCCAGACUCCUACGGGAGGCAGCAGUGGGGAAUAGUGCACAAUGGGCGCAAGCCUGAUGCAGCCAUGCCGCGUGUAUGAAGAAGGCCUUCGGGUUGUAAAGUACUUUCAGCGGGGAGGCGUUACCCGCAGAAGAAGCACCGGCUAACUCCGUGCCAGCCGCCGCGGUAAUAC